rnacentral:rRNA from 1 species
AGAGUUUGAUCAUGGCUCAGAACGAACGCUGGCGGCGUGGAUAAGACAUGCAAGUCGGACGAGAUUUUUCGUUGUAGCAAUACGAUGGAAAGUCUAGUGGCGAACGGGUGCUUAACACGUGGGCAAUCUGUCUUAAAGUGGGGGGAUAGCUCGGCGAAAGCCGAAUUAAUACCGCAUGUGAUUAGAGUGGACAUCCAUUCGAAAUUAAAGGUGGCGCAAGCUACCGCUUUUUGAGGAGCCCGCGGCCUAUCAGCUUGUUGGUGAGGUAACGGCUCACCAAGGCUUUGACGGGUAGCUGGUCUGAGAGGACGACCAGCCACACUGGGACUGAGACACGGCCCAGACACCUACGGGUGGCAGCAGUCGAGAAUUUUUCUCAAUGGGGGAAACCCUGAAGGAGCGACGCCGCGUGGAGGAUGAAGGUCUUCGGAUUGUAAACUCCUGUCAUUGGGGAACAAGUCGCUUACGUUAACUGCGUGAGCGUUGAUAGUACCCGAAGAGGAAGAGACGGCUAACUCUGUGCCAGCAGCCGCGGUAAUACAGAGGUCUCAAGCGUUGUUCGGAUUCAUUGGGCGUAAAGGGUGCGUAGGCGGCGCGGUAAGUCGGGUGUGAAAUCUUGGAGCUUAACUCCGAAACUGCAUUCGAUACUGCCGUGCUUGAGGACUGGAGAGGAGACUGGAAUUUACGGUGUAGCGGUGAAAUGCGUAGAUAUCGUAAGGAAGACCAGUGGCGAAGGCGGGUCUCUGGACAGUUCCUGACGCUGAGGCACGAAGGUCAGGGGAGCAAACGGGAUUAGAUACCCUUGUAGUCC